rnacentral:rRNA from 1 species
GCUGUGGUUAGGGGUGAAAGGCCAAUCAAACUCGGCGAUAUCUGGUUCUCCCCGAAAUGCCUUUAGGGGCAGCGUUACGGUAGUAUCUUGGGGGUAGAGCACUGGAUGGUACUAGGGGCCCUACAAGGUUACCAAACCCUAACCAAACUCCGAAUACCAAGAUUAUGAUCCGUGGCAGUGAGGCCGUGGGGGAUAAGCUUCAUGGCCGAAAGGGAAACAACCCAGACCAACAGCUAAGGUCCCCAAAUCCGGGUUAAGUGACAAAGGAUGUGGGAUUGCUUAAACAGCUAGGAGGUUGGCUUAGAGGCAGCCAUCCUUUAAAGAAAGCGUAACAGCUCACUAGUCAAGGAAUCCUGCGCCGAUAAUCUCCGGGACUGAUAAACCCGGUACCGAAGCUAUGGUCUUUCCGAUUUAUCGGGAAGAGGUAGGGGAGCGUUCCAUUAACCUGUGAAGCCUUUGCCGGAAGGCGGGGUGGAGGAGAUGGAAGUGAGUAUGCUGGCAUAAGUAGCGAUAAACUCGAUGAAAUUUCGAGUCACCGAAAGCCUAAGGUUUCCUGAGUAAAGUAAAUCUGCUCAGGGUUAGUCGGACCCUAAGCCGAGGCCGAAAGGCGUAGGCGAUGGAUAACAGGUGAAUAUUCCUGUACUACCCUGUUGUUGUCUGAGUGAUGGGGGGACGCAGAAGUGAAAGGUCAGCCCGGUUUUGAUUGUCCGGGUUUAAGUGAGUAGGGGGUUCUGGUAGGCAAAUCCGCCGGAACUUAACCCCGAGACACGAAUAGGAGGGCCUAGCCCAUAAACUGACCCUAAUCAUGCUGCCAAGAAAAUCCUCUAAACAAGAUGACAGGGUAACCGUACCUCAAACCGACACAGGUAGGCGAGAUGAGUAUUCUAAGGUGCUUGGGUGAAUUCCAGUUAAGGAACUCGGCAAAUUGACCCCGUAACUUCGGGAGAAGGGGUGCCUCGAUUAGAUGAAAUCUCCUUCGGGCAGAUGGAGUCGAAAGAGGCCGCAGUGAAAUGGCUCGGGCGACUGUUUACUAAAAACACAGGUCUCUGCUAAGUCGUAAGACGAAAUAUAGGGACUGACACCUGCCCGGUGCCGGAAGGUUAAGGGAACGUGUUAUCCCGCUUCGGCGGGAGAAGCUCAGAACCGAAGCCCCGGUAAACGGCGGCCGUAACUAUAACGGUCCUAAGGUAGCGAAAUUCCUUGUCGGGUAAGUUCCGACCCGCACGAAUGGUGUAACGACUUGAGCGCUGUCUCUACUGGAAACCCAGCGAAAUUGUAGCGUCGGUGAAGAUACCGGCUACCCGCGGCAGGACGAAAAGACCCCGUGAACCUUUACUACAGCUUGACAUUGGGUUUUGGUUCUAUAUGUGUAGGAUAGGUGGGAGGCUAUGAAGUUUCAGCGCUAGUUGGAAUGGAGCCAUCCUUGAAAUACCACCCUUAUAUUUCCGGAAUUCUAAUCCCGACCCUUGAAUCAGGGCGAGAAACAUUGUCAGGUGGGUAGUUUGACUGGGGCGGUCUCCUCCUAAAGAGUAACGGAGGAGCUCAAAGGUUCCCUCAGCACGGUCGGUAAUCGUGCAAAGAGUGCAAAGGCAUAAGGGAGCUUGACUGCAAGGCUGACGGGCCAAGCAGAUGCGAAAGCAGGACUUAGUGAUCCGGCGAUUCCGUAUGGAAGGGUCGUCGCUCAUCGGAUAAAAGGUACUCCGGGGAUAACAGGCUUAUCGCCUUCGAGAGCUCAUAUCGACGAGGCGGUUUGGCACCUCGAUGUCGGCUCAUCACAUCCU